GAUGAACGCUGGCGGCGUGCCUAAUACAUGCAAGUCGAGCGAACGGACGAGAAGCUUGCUUCUCUGAUGUUAGCGGCGGACGGGUGAGUAACACGUGGAUAACCUACCUAUAAGACUGGGAUAACUUCGGGAAACCGGAGCUAAUACCGGAUAAUAUUUUGAACCGCAUGGUUCAAAAGUGAAAGACGGUCUUGCUGUCACUUAUAGAUGGAUCCGCGCUGCAUUAGCUAGUUGGUAAGGUAACGGCUUACCAAGGCAACGAUGCAUAGCCGACCUGAGAGGGUGAUCGGCCACACUGGAACUGAGACACGGUCCAGACUCCUACGGGAGGCAGCAGUAGGGAAUCUUCCGCAAUGGGCGAAAGCCUGACGGAGCAACGCCGCGUGAGUGAUGAAGGUCUUCGGAUCGUAAAACUCUGUUAUUAGGGAAGAACAUAUGUGUAAGUAACUGUGCACAUCUUGACGGUACCUAAUCAGAAAGCCACGGCUAACUACGUGCCAGCAGCCGCGGUAAUACGUAGGUGGCAAGCGUUAUCCGGAAUUAUUGGGCGUAAAGCGCGCGUAGGCGGUUUUUUAAGUCUGAUGUGAAAGCCCACGGCUCAACCGUGGAGGGUCAUUGGAAACUGGAAAACUUGAGUGCAGAAGAGGAAAGUGGAAUUCCAUGUGUAGCGGUGAAAUGCGCAGAGAUAUGGAGGAACACCAGUGGCGAAGGCGACUUUCUGGUCUGUAACUGACGCUGAUGUGCGAAAGCGUGGGGAUCAAACAGGAUUAGAUACCCUGGUAGUCCACGCCGUAAACGAUGAGUGCUAAGUGUUAGGGGGUUUCCGCCCCUUAGUGCUGCAGCUAACGCAUUAAGCACUCCGCCUGGGGAGUACGACCGCAAGGUUGAAACUCAAAGGAAUUGACGGGGACCCGCACAAGCGGUGGAGCAUGUGGUUUAAUUCGAAGCAACGCGAAGAACCUUACCAAAUCUUGACAUCCUUUGACAACUCUAGAGAUAGAGCUUUCCCCUUCGGGGGACAAAGUGACAGGUGGUGCAUGGUUGUCGUCAGCUCGUGUCGUGAGAUGUUGGGUUAAGUCCCGCAACGAGCGCAACCCUUAAGCUUAGUUGCCAUCAUUAAGUUGGGCACUCUAAGUUGACUGCCGGUGACAAACCGGAGGAAGGUGGGGAUGACGUCAAAUCAUCAUGCCCCUUAUGAUUUGGGCUACACACGUGCUACAAUGGACAAUACAAAGGGCAGCGAAACCGUGAGGUCAAGCAAAUCCCAUAAAGUUGUUCUCAGUUCGGAUUGUAGUCUGCAACUCGACUACAUGAGGCUGGAAUCGCUAGUAAUCGUAGAUCAGCAUGCUACGGUGAAUACGUUCCCGGGUCU
rnacentral:rRNA from 1 species